rnacentral:rRNA from 1 species
GACGAACGCUGGCGGCGUGCUUAACACAUGCAAGUCGAACGGAAAGGCCUGCUUUCCCUUGUGGAUUGCGGGUACUCGAGUGGCGAACGGGUGAGUAACACGUGAGUGAUCUGCCCCCAACUUGGGUAUAAGCCUGGGAAACUGGGUCUAAUUCCCGAUAGGACUGCAGGGUGGUGCCUGUGGUGGAAAACGAUUUUCUAGUGGUUGGGGAUGAGCUCGCGGCCUAUCAGCUUGUUGGUGGGGUAAUGGCCUACCAAGGCGGCGACGGGUAGCCGGCCUGAGAGGGUGGACGGCCACAUUGGGACUGAGAUACGGCCCAGACUCCUACGGGAGGCAGCAGUGGGGAAUAUAGCACAAUGGGCGGAAGCCUGAUGCAGCGACGCCGCGAGGGGGAUGACGGCCUUCGGGUUGUAAACUCCUUUCGACCGCGAGGAAGCCACCUGGUUGGAAGGGUGGUGACGGUAGUGGGAGAAGAAGCACCGGCUAACUACGUG